GACGAACGCUGGCGGCGUGCCUAAUACAUGCAAGUAGAACGCUGAAGGCGGAGCUUGCUUCUCUGGAUGAGUUGCGAACGGGUGAGUAACGCGUAGGUAACCUGCCUGGUAGCGGGGGAUAACUAUUGGAAACGAUAGCUAAUACCGCAUAAUAGUAGAUGUUGCAUGACAUUUGCUUAAAAGGUGCAAUUGCAUCACUACCAGAUGGACCUGCGUUGUAUUAGCUAGUUGGUGAGGUAACGGCUCACCAAGGCAACGAUACAUAGCCGACCUGCGAGGGUGAUCGGCCACACUGGGACUGAGACACGGCCCAGACUGCUACGGGAGGCAGCAGUAGGGAAUCUGCGGCAAUGGACGGAAGUCUGACCGAGCAACGCGGCGUGAGUGAAGAAGGUUUUCGGAUCGUAGAGCUCGGUUGUAAGAGAAGAACGAGUGUGAGAGUGGAAAGUUCACACUGUGACGGUAUCUUACCAGAAAGGGACGGCUAACUACGUG
rnacentral:rRNA from 1 species